UACGUAGGGGGCGAGCGUUGUCCGGAUUUAUUGGGCGUAAAGGGCUCGUAGGCGGCCAACUAAGUCAGACGUGAAAUCCCUAGGCUCAACCUAGGAACUGCGUCUGAUACUGGAUGGCUUGAAUCCGGGAGAGGGAUGCAGAAUUCCAGGUGUAGCGGUGAAAUGCGUAGAUAUCUGGAGGAAUACCGGUGGCGAAGGCGGCAUCCUGGACCGGCAUUGACGCUGAGGAGCGAAAGCCAGGGGAGCAAACGGG
rnacentral:rRNA from 1 species